GCGGACGUGGCUCAGUGGUAGAGCAUCACCUUGCCAAGGUGAGGGUCGCGGGUUCGAAUCCCGUCGUCCGCU
rfam:Cellulomonas flavigena DSM 20109, complete genome.